rnacentral:rRNA from 1 species
UACGUAGGGGGCAAGCGUUGUCCGGAAUUAUUGGGCGUAAAGCGCGCGCAGGCGGUUCGUUUAGUCGGGUGGUUAAGCUCGGGGCUCAACCCCGAGUCACACCGGAAACUGGCGAACUUGAGUGCAGAAGAGGAGAGUGGAAUUCCACGUGUAGCGGUGAAAUGCGUAGAGAUGUGGAGGAACACCAGUGGCGAAGGCGACUCUCUGGUCUGUAACUGACGCUGAGGCGCGAAAGCGUGGGGAGCAAACAGG